rnacentral:lncRNA from 1 species
GGUGGAAGGGCGCAUGUUUAGGAAGAAAAAUUUUAUUGGCCUCUGGAAGGAUUGGAAGGAACCCUUUGAUCGAAUGCUUCAGGUAUUGAUCCUACCACUAUGGACAAAAGUAAGUAGUCGGCUUGUCUUAUACCGGCUCCUUAUCAAAAUGAAAGGGCCUAUCCUUGCAAACUUGAAUCUAGUUGCAAGAGAACUAGAUUAACAACAAUUCAUCAGAGAGAGAGAGA